rnacentral:rRNA from 1 species
UUAAGCGACUAAGCGUACACGGUGGAUGCCCUGGCAGUCAGAGGCGAUGAAGGACGUGCUAAUCUGCGAAAAGCGUCGGUAAGGUGAUAUGAACCGUUACAGCCGGCGAUGUCCGAAUGGGGAAACCCAGUGCAAUUCGUUGCACUAUCGUUAACUGAAUACAUAGGUUAACGAGGCGAACCGGGGGAACUGAAACAUCUAAGUACCCCGAGGAAAAGAAAUCAACCGAGAUUCCCCCAGUAGCGGCGAGCGAACGGGGAGCAGCCCAGAGUCUGAAUCAGCUUGUGUGUUAGUGGAACGGUCUGGAAAGUCCGACGGUACAGGGUGAUAGUCCCGUACACCAAAAUGCACAGGCUGUGAACUCGAAGAGUAGGGCGGGACACGUGGUAUCCUGUCUGAAUAUGGGGGGACCAUCCUCCAAGGCUAAAUACUCCUGACUGACCGAUAGUGAACCAGUACCGUGAGGGAAAGGCGAAAAGAACCCCGGCGAGGGGAGUGAAAAAGAACCUGAAACCGUGUACGUACAAGCAGUGGGAGCACCUUCGGGUGUGACUGCGUACCUUUUGUAUAAUGGGUCAGCGACUUAUAUUCUGUAGCAAGGUUAACCGUAUAGGGGAGCCGCAGGGAAACCGAGUCUUAACUGGGCGUUAAGUUGCAGGGUAUAGACCCGAAACCCGGUGAUCUAGCCAUGGGCAGGUUGAAGGUUGGGUAACACUAACUGGAGGACCGAACCGACUAAUGUUGAAAAAUUAGCGGAUGACUUGUGGCUGGGGGUGAAAGGCCAAUCAAACCGGGAGAUAGCUGGUUCUCCCCGAAAGCUAUUUAGGUAGCGCCUCGUGAACUCAUCUUCGGGGGUAGAGCACUGUUUCGGCUAGGGGGUCAUCCCGACUUACCAACCCGAUGCAAACUACGAAUACCGAAGAAUGUUAUCACGGGAGACACACGGCGGGUGCUAACGUCCGUCGUGAAGAGGGAAACAACCCAGACCGCCAGCUAAGGUCCCAAAGUCAUGGUUAAGUGGGAAACGAUGUGGGAAGGCACAGACAGCCAGGAUGUUGGCUUAGAAGCAGCCAUCAUUUAAAGAAAGCGUAAUAGCUCACUGGUCGAGUCGGCCUGCGCGGAAGAUGUAACGGGGCUAAACCAUGCACCGAAGCUGCGGCAGCGACACUAUGUGUUGUUGGGUAGGGGAGCGUUCUGUAAGCCUGCGAAGGUGUGCUGUGAGGCAUGCUGGAGGUAUCAGAAGUGCGAAUGCUGACAUAAGUAACGAUAAAGCGGGUGAAAAGCCCGCUCGCCGGAAGACCAAGGGUUCCUGUCCAACGUUAAUCGGGGCAGGGUGAGUCGACCCCUAAGGCGAGGCCGAAAGGCGUAGUCGAUGGGAAACAGGUUAAUAUUCCUGUACUUGGUGUUACUGCGAAGGGGGGACGGAGAAGGCUAUGUUAGCCGGGCGACGGUUGUCCCGGUUUAAGCAUGUAGGCUGGUUAUCCAGGCAAAUCCGGAUAAUCAAGGCUGAGGUGUGAUGACGAGGCACUACGGUGCUGAAGUAACAAAUGCCCUGCUUCCAGGAAAAGCCUCUAAGCAUCAGGUAACAUCAAAUCGUACCCCAAACCGACACAGGUGGUCAGGUAGAGAAUACCAAGGCGCUUGAGAGAACUCGGGUGAAGGAACUAGGCAAAAUGGUGCCGUAACUUCGGGAGAAGGCACGCUGGUGUGUAGGUGAAGUCCCUGCGGAUGGAGCUGAGACCAGUCGAAGAUACCAGCUGGCUGCAACUGUUUAUUAAAAACACAGCACUGUGCAAACACGAAAGUGGACGUAUACGGUGUGACGCCUGCCCGGUGCCGGAAGGUUAAUUGAUGGGGUUAUCCGUAAGGAGAAGCUCUUGAUCGAAGCCCCGGUAAACGGCGGCCGUAACUAUAACGGUCCUAAGGUAGCGAAAUUCCUUGUCGGGUAAGUUCCGACCUGCACGAAUGGCGUAAUGAUGGCCAGGCUGUCUCCACCCGAGACUCAGUGAAAUUGAACUCGCUGUGAAGAUGCAGUGUACCCGCGGCAAGACGGAAAGACCCCGUGAACCUUUACUAUAGCUUGACACUGAACAUUGAGCCUUGAUGUGUAGGAUAGGUGGGAGGCUUUGAAGCGUGGACGCCAGUCUGCGUGGAGCCAACCUUGAAAUACCACCCUUUAAUGUUUGAUGUUCUAACGUUGGCCCCUUACCGGGGUUGCGGACAGUGUCUGGUGGGUAGUUUGACUGGGGCGGUCUCCUCCCAAAGCGUAACGGAGGAGCACGAAGGUUAGCUAAUCCUGGUCGGACAUCAGGAGGUUAGUGCAAUGGCAUAAGCUAGCUUGACUGCGAGCGUGACGGCGCGAGCAGGUGCGAAAGCAGGUCAUAGUGAUCCGGUGGUUCUGAAUGGAAGGGCCAUCGCUCAACGGAUAAAAGGUACUCCGGGGAUAACAGGCUGAUACCGCCCAAGAGUUCAUAUCGACGGCGGUGUUUGGCACCUCGAUGUCGGCUCAUCACAUCCUGGGGCUGAAGUAGGUCCCAAGGGUAUGGCUGUUCGCCAUUUAAAGUGGUACGCGAGCUGGGUUUAGAACGUCGUGAGACAGUUCGGUCCCUAUCUGCCGUGGGCGCUGGAGAAUUGAGGGGGGCUGCUCCUAGUACGAGAGGACCGGAGUGGACGCAUCACUGGUGUUCGGGUUGUCAUGCCAAUGGCACUGCCCGGUAGCUAAAUGCGGAAGAGAUAAGUGCUGAAAGCAUCUAAGCACGAAACUUGCCCCCGAGAUGAGUUCUCCCUGAGACUUUAAGUCUCCUGAAGGAACGUUGAAGACGACGACGUUGAUAGGCCGGGUGUGUAAGCGCAGCGAUGCGUUGAGCUAACCGGUACUAAUGAACCGUGAGGCUUAACCUU